rnacentral:tRNA from 1 species
GGUGAUAGCUCAGUGGUAGAGUGCUUGCCUAGCAUGCAGGAGGUCCUGGGUUUGGUCCCCAGUAUGGCCG